rnacentral:rRNA from 1 species
CCCUUAGAUGUCCUGGGCCGCACGCGCGCUACACUGAUGCAUGCAACGAGUUUAUAACCUUGGCCUGAAAGGUCUGGGUAAUCUCUUGAACGUGCAUCGUGAUAGGGAUAGAUUAUUGCAAUUGUUAAUCUUGAACGAGGAAUUCCUAGUAAACGCGAGUCAUCAGCUCGCAUUGAUUACGUCCCUGCCCUUUGUACACACCGCCCGUCGCACCUACCGAUUGAAUGGUUCGGUGAAGAUCUCGGACUUCGAUAUUUAUUCUUUAUUGAGUUUAUAUUGUGGGAAGUUAUCUAAACCUCAUCAUUUAGAGGAAGGUGAAGUCGUAACA